rnacentral:rRNA from 1 species
CCUACGGGAGGCAGCAGUGAGGAAUAUUGGUCAAUGGACGAGAGUCUGAACCAGCCAAGUAGCGUGAAGGAUGACUGCCCUAUGGGUUGUAAACUUCUUUUAUAUGGGAAUAAAAUGUUCCACGUGUGGGAUUUUGUAUGUACCAUAUGAAUAAGGAUCGGCUAACUCCGUGCCAGCAGCCGCGGUAAUACGGAGGAUCCGAGCGUUAUCCGGAUUUAUUGGGUUUAAAGGGAGCGUAGGUGGAUUGUUAAGUCAGUUGUGAAAGUUUGCGGCUCAACCGUAAAAUUGCGGUUGAAACUGGCAGUCUUGAGUACAGUAGAGGUGGGCGGAAUUUGUGGUGUAGCGGUGAAAUGCUUAGAUAUCACGAAGAACUCCGAUUGCGAAGGCAGUUCACUGGACUGCAACUGACACUGAGGCUCGAAAGUGUGGGUAUCAAACAGGAUUAGAUACCCGGGUAGUC